CUAACACUUUUAGACUGUGGUGCAGAGUUCUGUUCUCUGGACCUCUCUGUUUUUUGGCAUGAAAAUAAAGCAGGGGAAGUUAGCAAAGAAAUUCAUUAACAGAGUUAACAUUUAAAUAAAGUCUCGAUCAAAUACCUGGCCUUCAUACUGCAACAUUUCCAGGUGAGUAGCUUUGGUGUUUCUCUUCUGACAGUGGCGUUCACAAUACAUACAAGAGGAGCUUGGAGAUCACAAAUUUCUUUACCUUGGAGGCUGAAGAAGGUCCUGGCUUAUGAACUCUCUGUUCGUAAGAAAACCAGCAAAAAGGCCUUUCAGAUUCUCCGUCCUAUAUAGUGUGCUAUUCAGGGAGCCGAUAGAGGGCAGUUACUGAACACAGAUCCCGUGAAAAUUAACAGCUUCCAAACUGAUUUCUUUCCAUUGGCUUUGUCAGUUUUACUUUCUAUUUCUUGGGAAAUAGUUCUUUUUCUAUUAGAUUUCUAUUUCUAUUUGUUUCUAUUUCUUGGGAUUAUGUCAGAGGAAGAUUAUAGCAGCAACAUAGCCAGGAUUUAUAAAGUCUGUUUACCAUUUCUCAGAGAACUCUAGAUUCUCCAAGCUUACAAGAUUCUUCAAGCCUACAAGAUUCUUCAAGCCUACAAGAUUCUCUAGAUUCUCCAAGCCUACAAGAUUCUUCAAGCCUACAAGAUUCUCUAGAUUCUUCAAGCCUACAAGAUUUAUUCUAAUAAGCCCUGAAGUUAAUCAGAUUCAUCUCAUCCCUGCCCUCUCACCCCUCUUCUGUCACCAAUACACAUGUCCUCUUGCUCCUGAUAAUAACACAAAAAUAACAUGGCUAAAUUUUGGACUGAACAAUUGCCAGGCAAGAGAAAGCACAAAAUCCUUCGGUCUUGCACAGCUAAUGAGGGUAAGCAGCAACUGGAAAUAAAACAAAUACACAUUAUGAGUUCAGCCAGAUCUCAAGUUAGUUUUUUCACUUUUGCUUUUGUUUUCUUUUCCCUGCUCUAUUAAUGAGUUAAUCAAUUAAGAUUUUCUUUCCUUGCAUGGAAAGAUUUUUGGCUUUUAGAUUAAGAAAGCUUUUCCCAGUUUCUUAGUUAAUUAUGAACAUGCACUAUCACAUCAUCUUGGACUCAAUUCAAAAACUUAUCUAAAACAUGUAGUUACUGGGAAAUUCCAGAUUAAUUUCCUGCUAGUUUUGUUUUGUUAACUAUUGUGUUAAACACUUAAUGGAGCAGCUCCUAGAUGACUAAAUCUGCUCAGCUGAAUUCAAAUGCCCUCAUGCUUCCCUGAAUGGACACACACACACACAGUCUCUUCACCUGAGGAAUAAAGUGUAGGAUCUUCAGAACUUUUAUUCAGGGGGGAAAGGCCCAGGUAGCUGCUGCUGUUCAGCAUAAGGCUAAUCUGACCUUCUAUAAUAAGAGUUCAAGUCCCAGAAAUCCCUGGUCCUCCAUCAGAGGCUUCUCCACUCAUUACAGGAGAAGAAAGUCUGGGUUGCUCCCUAAUCAAGCAAGUGGAGAGUCCAGGAAGGGAGAUGGGGGCAGUAAGGUGCAUGGAGCUGUCAUCUCCUAUGAUAACAACACCUUCUGGAAUACCUCCUGAAGGACAUGCCAGAGGGUGUUUUACAGUUAUCUUUUUAAAAAAUACAUAAGUAGAAAGAGUACAUUCUAAAAUAAAAAUAAAAGGUAUAAUAUAAUAA